rnacentral:rRNA from 1 species
CCUACGGGGGGCAGCAGUCGAGAAUCAUUCACAAUGGGGGAAACCCUGAUGGUGCGACGCCGCGUGGGGGAAUGAAGGUCUUCGGAUUGUAAACCCCUGUCAUGUGGGAGCAAAUUAAAAAGAUAGUACCACAAGAGGAAGAGACGGCUAACUCUGUGCCAGCAGCCGCGGUAAUACAGAGGUCUCAAGCGUUGUUCGGAAUCACUGGGCGUAAGGCGUGCGUAGGCUGUUUCGUAAGUCGUGUGUGAAAGGCGCGGGCUCAACCCGCGGACGGCACAUGAUACUGCGAGACUAGAGUAAUGGAGGGGGAACCGGAAUUCUCGGUGUAGCAGUGAAAUGCGUAGAUAUCGAGAGGAACACUCGUGGCGAAGGCGGGUGCCUGGACAUUAACUGACGCUGAGGCACGAAGGCCAGGGGAGCGAAAGGGAUUAGAUACCCGUGUAGUC